CGCUGCCAACCCCGCUGUCCACGCCGCUCUCGGAGGUCGUUUCACUCUCGCAGUACGCCGCGGAUCGAAGGCGAAGGAGGUGAUAAGAUUUCUGUUGUUAGAGUCGCAGAGAUCCAUCGCCUUUGGUGAAGAAUUUUGAGCGAUGGGGAAGAAUGACUUCCUUACGCCGAAGGCGAUCGCGAACCGGAUCAAAGCAAAGGGGCUCCAGAAGCUGCGGUGGUACUGCCAGAUGUGCCAAAAGCAGUGCCGCGAUGAGAACGGCUUCAAGUGUCACUGCAUGAGCGAGAGCCACCAGCGACAGAUGCAGAUCUUUGGCCAGAACCCUAUGCGCGUCGUUGAGGGCUACUCUGAGGAGUUCGAGAGCACCUUCCUCGAGCACAUGAAGCGCAGCCACCGCUUCAGCCGUGUGGCUGCCACCGUCGUCUAUAACGAGUACAUCAAUGACCGCCACCAUGUCCACAUGAACUCCACCGAGUGGGCCACGCUCACCGAGUUCAUCAAACACCUCGGCCGCAAUGGCAAGUGCAAGGUCGAGGAGACCCCGAAGGGUUGGUUCAUCACCUACAUCGACCGAGACUCCGAGACGCUCUUCAAGGAGAGGAUGAAGAACAAGCGAAUCAAGGCCGAUUUGGUCGAGGAGGAGAAGCAAGAGCGCGAGAUUCAGAAGCAGAUCGAGCGGGCUGCCGAGCUGUUUGUGCCCCUCGCGACCGAGUCUCAGGCGGCCUCUGAGCCGGAAAAGGAAUUGAAAUCGGAGGCCGACGUUAAAGUCGGUUUCGCACUUGGCUCGACGGCGAAACCGAAACCGAAAGAGUUGGGGGAGAGCUCGAAAUUGGUGUUCGAUGAGGCGGAGAACGAUAAGAACGAGAAGAGAAAUCAAUCCGCGAAGAAUAAAUCGGUUUUGGAGGAGUUGAUGUGGGAGGAGGAGAUGAAGAAGGAGAGGAUUAACCGAAAGGACUAUUGGUUGAGCGAAGGGGUUGUUGUGAAGGUGAUGAGUAAUGCGUUGGCCGAGAAGGGCUACUAUAAGCAAAAGGGAGUGGUGAGGAAAGUGAUCGAUAAGUACAUUGGGGAGAUUGAAAUGCUUGAGAGCAAGCACGUGCUGAGGGUGGAUCAGGCGGAGCUUGAGACGGUGAUUCCGCAGAUUGGGGGGCUUGUGAGGAUAGUGAAUGGGGCAUAUAGGGGAGCGACUGCCAAGUUGUUGGGUGUGGACACGGACAGGUUCUGCGCGAAGGUGCAGAUUGAGAAGGGUGCUUAUGUUGGUAGAGUGCUUAAAGCUGUUGAGUAUGAGGAUAUUUGUAAAGUUGCCCAGUGAGUUCUCAUUUCAGGAGCAGAGCCCUAUACUCUCAAGCUCUAAUUAUACUGGUCUGAGGAGGCAGAAUUAUGAAAGACCAAGGAAACCUAUAAAGAGUUUGGGUUGGCUGAAAGGAUAAAGGACAUCAUGUUAGCAUAACCACUAUUGUCAUUUUAAAAAAUGAAAGUUCCUUUCUAUCCGACUU